UACGUAGGGGGCUAGCGUUGUCCGGAUUUAUUGGGCGUAAAGAGCGUGUAGGCGGCCUGGUAGGUCUGCUGUGAAAACUCGGAGGCUCAACCUCGGAGAUGUCGGCGGAACCAUCUGGCUAGAGUCCGGAAGAGGAGAGUGGAAUUCCUGGUGUAGCGGUGAAAUGGCGCAGAUAUCAGGAGGAACACCGGUGGCGAAGGCGGGUCUCUGGGCAGUAACUGACGCUGAGGAGCGAAAGCGUGGGGAGCGAACAGG
rnacentral:rRNA from 1 species